CUAGGCCCCACUCUGUGAUCUCCUACGAGUUCCUUAGCAACCGUGGAAUCUAACCUCAGAAGACACCAAAGUCCCGCAUGCAUAAGGACACGGGCGUGAAACACUCUAGAGCUCCUGUCCACACCUGCGUGAUGAUUCCCACUCGGAAAUCUCUGCCAAUGCCCUUCCUCUGGACUCCAACUCCCCUUCAUACUAGCACAUCCUGAAAUUCCUUUUUGUGGUGACGCGAAGCUCAGCUGAAUCUGAAGGGGGCGCUCUGCAAGGAAGGCAGCCACUGCAAGAGGCCGCAGUGACCUGAGCCCGCUCUCCUGAGGUCAUCCUUGCUCACGACUUUGCUCUCCAGCUGCUUCCUGGCUUCCUUGCUCAUCUUUUAUAAUCCAUUUUCCACGCUGCAGACAGUGAGCUUUGCAAAAUGGAAAUUCGAAGCCAAAUUGGAGUGACUGACAGAGUGAUGUCAGCUGAGACAGAUUCAUACGCCGAGGCAAGACACUUGCUAAGGCAAGACCUGUGAGCACAUGAGAUGUCUAGAGGGAGUAUAAAAAGGACUCGAUGGACAGUGGCAGAGGCUGAGCUAGGCUUGCUUGCAUAGCUAAGUGCUUCUUGGUCUUUGCUGAGAGAAGCACAGCUGAGAACUUUUCCUAUUGGUCUUGGCACCCUCCUGCUGACUCCUGCUGAGGCUGCUGCUAUCCAGACUGCGGAACUGGACUGCUGGUGUGUCCGUGAAGUGUUUGCUAGUGGAUCAAGUUGCUACUGCUGACCUGUGAAUUGAACUGCCGAUUUCCAGACAACACAAAGUUGCUCCAAAGAACCUUUCCAAACAGGUCCGCUCCCCCUCAACCCCUAUCCU
rnacentral:lncRNA from 1 species